CGAGCUCGCCGAAUCUGGUGGUGGAGCUUGGGCUCGCUUGGAUCGGGAGCCCGAGCUCCGCCGCUAGAUCCGGCGAGCUCGA
rnacentral:pre_miRNA from 1 species